rnacentral:rRNA from 1 species
ACCGGGGAAGGUCUCAAUGGAAACUGGGAGACUUGAGUGCAGGAGAGAAGAGUGGAAUUCCACGUGUAGCGGUGAAAUGCGUAGAGAUGUGGAGGAACACCAGUGGCGAAGGCGACUCUUUGGCCUGUAACUGACACUGAGGCGCGAAAGCGGGGGGAGCAAACAGGAUUAGAUACCCUGGUAGUCAAGGGCG